AGCCGUGUGGCUCAGUGGAAAGAGCACGGGCUUGAGAGUCAGAGGUCAGGGGUUCGAACCCCCGCUCCGCCG
rnacentral:tRNA from 1 species